CACAUUCCCCACCUCCUCUCAUGGUCACGCCCCCAAAUCCUCCCGAUCUGAUUGCCGCCGCCGCCACAAGGGAGAGAGGUGACGGCAACAACAAUGGCGGGCGAACUCCUUCUUUUCAAUGGUUCCACCCUCUCUCACGGUAGUCCCUCGCAAACUCUAUCGCCAGCGGUGGCAGCGGCGUCGAAUGGUGACAACCAGGAGUCCAAGAUGAAGCGGGCGGCGGUGGCAGCGACGGAGAACCAUCACCCUCCCAGUGACGCGAUCAGCGCCAUGGCAAUUUCCUAGCCACCCUUGCACGACCAUGAACCCGAGCGGAAGGGCCAUCUCAACUUGCCAGCUCGCCUGGCCGGCAUCCGUAGGUGAGAGGUCAUCCAAAUUUGGACGUCGUGCCUCCUCCGGUCCUCCCUCCAUGCCGGUUGUUCCUUCCUCUGCAACAACACACAGGACGUCACAUGGAUUGAUUCAUUGGCUGGGACGAGAACCAAGACAAGAUACGCUACUGCAAAAUCAACAUGGAGUUUGCCCUCUGAAUGACAUGUGUUCUGGAACUAAUGAUUUCCUGAUUCUAUUGCUAUGUAGUGCGUGUGUACUCAUUAAUCAACCCCGUAGGAGUAGGUUGUCAGAAAGAAAAGAAAAUGCCUUCAGGUUUGCUUCUAUAAUUUUGACACUAUAAUUUUUCUACAUCUAUGAACGUUAAAUUAAGCUUCUCCA